rnacentral:rRNA from 1 species
AACUUACCGAAAGGUGAGCUAAUGCCGGAUGAGUUAUAUAAGUGCAUGUUUAUAUAGGAAAAGUUGGGGAGACCUGACGCUGAAAGAUGGACUCGCGUCCCAUUAGCUAGUUGGUAGGGUAAUGGCCUACCAAGGCGACGAUGGGUAGCCGGCCUGAGAGGGUGGCCGGCCACACUGGGACUGAGACACGGCCCAGACUCCUACGGGAGGCAGCAGUGGGGAAUUUUGCGCAAUGCUCGUAAGAGUGACGCAGCGACGCCGCGUGAAUGACGAAGGCCUUCGGGUCGUAAAGUUCUUUCGACAGGGAAGAAAAUGCCUAUAAGUAACUGUGUAUGUAUUGACGGUACCUGUAUAAGCAGCCCCGGCUAACUCCGUGCCAGCAGCCGCGGUAAUACGGAGGGGGCGAGCGUUGUUCGGAGUGACUGGGCGUAAAGAGCACGUAGGCGGUGUUGUAAGUCAUUAGUCAAAGACUAGAGCUCAACUUUAGUAAGGCUAGUGAUACUAUAAUACUAGAGUAUCAGAGAGGAUUGCAGAAUUCCUGGUGUAGCGGUGAAAUGCGUAGAUAUCAGGAGGAAUACCGUUAGCGAAGGCGGCAAUCUGGCUGGAAACUGACGCUGAGGUGCGAAAGCGUGGGGUAGCAAACAGGAUUAGAUACCCUGGUAGUCCACGNUGUAAACGAUGGAUGCU